rnacentral:tRNA from 2 species
CAUUAAGAAGCUAUGAACCAGCACUAGCCUUUUAAGCUAGGAAAAGAGGGACCCAACCCCUCCUUAAUGA